UUCUUCCGCAUUUGCACCUAACCUGUAGCUUCCACAUGAAAACUAGUACUACCUACGUACUACUCUCUAUAUAAGUGCUUAUCAAGUUGAGCACCCAUUGCACAGAUUGUUAGCUUGCAAUCCAAGUAGAAAUACAGCAAGGGAGGAAGCACAGAGUCGAACGAUCGAGGAUGGCGAAGAAGAACUCCUCUGCGACCUCGGUUCGGCUGAUGCUGAUCCUCCUGGUUUUACUGGUUUUCGUUGGAGGCAUCCUCGCACGAGGUGGGCCGACCACCUGCAGCAACCGUAAGCAAGCUACCACCACAGCCGCUGUUUCCAUGUACGUAGUACGUACUCCUUUUUUUCUAGCCUAUUAACUUGUUUUUUGUUCAUCAUUUGUGGCAGCUGCUGCUCAGCGAAACUGCCCGCCGAUCCGUAAUGGCGGCUCAUAAGCACAACAUGGAGCACGAAGGGUUUAGUAGGCUCUCGCAUUCGCCGGCGUCGAUUUUGUUCUGAACCGAAUAAUAUUGUAUGUUCUUGAUGCGUCGAUUGUUGUGUGUGUGUUGAUGUUCCCCGUAUUUUUGUUUGUAUUGUGGCCUGGUUUAUAAAUAAAUAGUACUACAAUGAGUCGGGAAGUUCUCUUGCCCAUGCUGGACUUUGAUUAUUGGAUCUGAUGGCCAAAAAUAAAUAAAAAAUCAGAGCUAUCCGUGAGUAUAUAUUGGCGUAUUUAUUAUCAGUAUUUAAUGGUGAGCCGGUGUAUGUUUCAUCAAGGAGGGGUCGUCCUAUGAGUAUAUGAUCAUUUUUUUUGAGGAUGAG
rnacentral:lncRNA from 1 species